rnacentral:tRNA from 1 species
GUACUCGUAGCUCAAUGGUAGAGUCCAAGAUUGUGGAUCUUGAUGUUGCGGGUUCGAAUCCCGUCGAGUACCCCA